rnacentral:rRNA from 1 species
UACGGAGGAUCCGAGCGUUAUCCGGAUUUACUGGGUUUAAAGGGUGCGUAGGCGGGCGCCUAAGUCAGCGGUGAAAGGCAGCGGCUCAACCGUUGAACUGCCGUUGAAACUGGGCGCCUUGGAUUCGGUCGAGGUUGGCGGAAUGCGUGGUGUAGCGGUGAAAUGCUUAGAUAUCACGCGGAACGCCGAUUGCGAAGGCAGCUGACCAGGCCUGAAUCGACGCUGAGGCACGAAAGCGUGGGGAUCAAACAGG